GAUGAACGCUACGGCAGGCUUAACACAUGCAAGUCGAGGGGUAACGACACUUUCGGGUGGGCGACGACCGGCGCACGGGUGCGUAACGCGUAUGCAACCUGCCUUUAACUGGAGGAUAGCCCCGAGAAAUCGGGAUUAAUACUCCAUAGUAAUGAGAUUCGGCAUCGUUUUUCAUUUAAAGCUCCGGCGGUUAAAGAUGGGCAUGCGUGACAUUAGUUUGUUGGUGAGGUAACGGCUCACCAAGACUACGAUGUCUAGGGGUUCUGAGAGGAUGAUCCCCCACACUGGUACUGAGACACGGACCAGACUCCUACGGGAGGCAGCAGUGAGGAAUAUUGGUCAAUGGACGCAAGUCUGAACCAGCCAUGCCGCGUGAAGGAUGACGGCCCUAUGGGUUGUAAACUUCUUUUAUUAAGGAAUAAACCCCCUUACGUGUAAGGGGCUGAACGUACUUAAAGAAUAAGCAUCGGCUAACUCCGUGCCAGCAGCCGCGGUAAU
rnacentral:rRNA from 1 species